UACGGAGGAUGCAAGCGUUAUCCGGAUUUAUUAGGUUUAAAGGGUGCGCAGGCGGAAAUGUAAGUCAGUGGUGAAGGCCUACAGCUUAACUGUAGAACUGCCAUUGAUACUGCGUUUCUUGAGUAUAGUUGAAGUAGGCGGAAUGUGUAGUGUAGCGGUGAAAUGCAUAGAUAUUACACAGAACACCGAUUGCGAAGGCAGCUUACUAAACUAUUACUGACGCUCAUGCACGAAAGCGUGGGGAGCGAACAGGAUUAGAUACCCUGGUAGUCCACGCCGUAAACGAUGAACACUAGUUGUGUGCGAUACACAGUACGCGACUGAGCGAAAGCAUUAAGUGUUCCACCUGGGGAGUACGUAGGCAACUAUGAA
rnacentral:rRNA from 1 species